rnacentral:snRNA from 1 species
AGCUUUGCGCAGUGGCAAUAUCAUAGCCAGUGAGGUUUAUCCGAGGUGCGAUUAUUGCUAAUUGGAAAAAAAAGAAUCUUCUUAAAAACACAUAGUCUUUAAUACUUACGUACAGUGCAUGUUG